UGUAACGUUUUCUAAUGAACAAGAAGCAAAUUGAAAACCCUUUAUUCAGUAAAACAUAUAAUUGCUCCUAGACAGAACAAAAAUCAGUCUAAGAACUAGGAAAUUAAACAUUUUAAAAGAAAUUUAAAAAUAAAAAGAUGAACCCAUGAAACCAAAGAAAGGAAAGCAAUAGAAAACAGAGAUACCGGACUGAGUACUCUUAACGGCAAGGCAGCAGAAAGAAGUUCAGAAUAAAAAACUGAGAAAGAAAAAGGAAAUGAACGGGCGGCCCUCGUUCAAGAGGCAAAGCCAGAGGUAUAUGAAAGAGAGUGUGGAACUCAGGAACUUCUAUUAAUAACAUGGGAAAAAAUAUGGUGUAAAAGAAGAAGAUAAAUUAAAAAAAGUGUGGGGCGGCGCGCAGGAUUAACGCUUGCAAUUUGCAUGCUUUAUGGAUUGGAGACGAAACUGUCACGCUGACAGGGAAUCCACUUUUUAAUUUUGACCUUAAAGGGACUUGGGCAAAUCUCUACCGUCAUGGGCCCCCCUUUAGAUCAUCAACGUCCAUUCGACUUCUUCUAGUCGCCGCGUAUCGAUUUUUCUACUAAUUAAAAAGUAAAAAAAACAAUUUCGAAAGCAACCCGACCCAAUAACCCAUCUCUUUCCAUUCCGACCCAAACAUCUUGUUUAUGGGCCCAUCUUACGAACGUACAAAUGACGCAAUUCUGUUGGCCGGAAAUCUUGAUCGUACUGAUAAACUGACGUAGACAACUCGGACCUUUUGAAACCCUGGCCUGUCUCUUUCAACGUUUAAAUUUCGGAAACGAAAGGGAUAUUUUCGACAAAAGGUUUCAUCAUCAAGAUUUGGGGAAGCCCUGAUUAUGUUUUAGGGUUCUAAAUAAUCUCAACGUUUUCUUCCGAAAAUAUGGAUCACGAUGGUAGCCGUCAAAGACGAUCGACAACACCGUCAGCGAUGCUAGCUUCUCUGCUUAGUAGAAGAGCCAAGCUUCAAGAAGAGCGUCGAAACAUCGAAAGACAAGUGUAUGAUAUGGAGACAAGUUAUUUACAGGAUCCAGGCCAAUGCGGCUACGUUUUGAAAGGUUUUGGCUAAGGAGUUUGCCGCCGGUAGAGACGGUGAGCCUAUGAUAUGCAGCUGCAUCAACAAAUUUCCCUUCUUGAUGUUCAUUGUUUGUUAUUCCUUUGUGUUUAGCAAAUGGGAAAUCGGACUAUGGUGCCGCUCGGUCUAGUGGAGGUUACUUUGCAAAUGGGCAGUAAGUGCAUUAAUUUUGUAUUCAUUCUUAAUAUUAUUUUGUAAAAUUUACCUUCGUCUGAAAUGCUUGAAAACAGCGGAGGAUAAUAAAGUCUUGCAAACAUUUUAAAAUUCUAAACCCUAAUAACAUAAAAUUUAUGUCUCUAUUCUUUAUUUAGAAAAACCAAGAAGCGAAGAGAACGAGACACUCUAGUGAACCAGAUUUUGACUACGAUGAUCAUCCUGACGUGACAUUGUGAAACCACUUGGAUCUGAUGAAAUACCCCUUGGCCUUCCCGCAAAGCUUUAAUGUCCGAUCUUAUAGUGUUUGUCUCAAAACAACCAUUGAUCCCAUAGGUUAUUUACAGGAUUUUGAGGUGUAAAUAAAAAAAAAGCCUUUUUCAUUUUUCAAGCUCAAAUUGAAUCAGGGAAACAUAUGGUAACAAUGUUGAAUGGCAGUGUAAAUGAACCUGUACAGCUUAAAGCUUCUGAGCAAGUUCAGGCAACAAAGCUUUUGAGCGGAAAGAGGGGGGCGCGGAGACAAAUCAAGGGAUAAUUCUCCAACGUGAACAAGACCCUAAAACUAGAGGUUUAGAACUGUUUAUAUGGGUGAAUUUGGCAUUGGAUUUGGAUGCCUAGAAACUUGGU